rnacentral:rRNA from 1 species
GACAGAGGGUGCAAACGUUGUUCGGAAUUACUGGGCCUAAAGCGCACGUAGGUGGUCCGCUAAGUCGCGUGUGAAAUCCCCCGGCUCAACCGGGGAAUUGCGCCUGAUACUGGCGGGCUAGAGGUCGAUAGGGGUGAGCGGAACUCCAGGUGGAGCGGUGAAAUGCGUAGAUAUCUGGAGGAACACCGGUGGCGAAAGCGGCUCACUGGAUCGAAACUGACGCUGAGGUGCGAAAGCUAGGGUAGCAAACGGG